AUUACUGACAAAAUUUUAUAUAAAAAAACACUGGUUUUUCAUUUAAAUUGCUUUUAUUUCCUUAAAGUUAUGUUAAGUCAAAAAUCUCGAAUCCCAAUUCGCAUUUGUGUGCACUUUAAGGUAUAAAAUAAAGGUGUGUACUUUGAGGGUUAAAUGUUUCUGCGGGAAACAUCAAUGUGUUAAAAUCAAAAACACAAUUAUAUAAAACAAGCUUAUUGUAACUAUCGCAAAUACGUAUAUAUAUACUGUUUAUUUCUCGCACGUGCGUGUCCCCUUAUGUGAUACUCUGCAUGAAUGUGUAUGGGAGCCAUCUAUGCGGCUAGGACGGAACGGAGAAUUUUCAAUUUAAAUCUUUUAAAGUAAUAAUAAUAAUAAUAAAUAAUAAUAACAAUAACAACAUUUAUAACAGAAAUGCGGAAAUCUUUUCGUGAAUUGACAACAAGGCAACAAUAUCGUCGCUUGCAAGCGUACGAAACUGAACAAGAGCAGGAAACAAAUUCUUCUCCAAAGAAUACUCUAGCUAACGUCCGUACCAAUGUGGAAUUGGUCUCUAAUUUUCACCAAUUCAUUGCUGAUAAUUCAGAUGAUAGUGACGAAAGUUCCAAUAAUAUUUUAAUGUCUCACGAUCGAGAAAAUAAUGAAAAUGAGAACAAUGGAAACUUUUCCGAAAAUACGUACGAUGAAGAGUUUUCUAUUUGGUUACGUUCGUGGAAAUUGAAACAUAACAUUUCACACAGUGCUAUGUCCGAACUUUUGAGUCAAUUGCGCAUAUGCGGCCAUGCCGAUUUACCAAAGGAUGCAAGAACACUGUUACGAACACCCAGGUUUAACUCUAUCAAGAUUUCAGCCAGCGGAGGUAGUAAUUUUUAUUACGGUUUGAAAAACGCUCUAAUUGAUCAAUUGACACGUAUUAAUUAUGAAGAUGAAAAUAACGUAAUUGAAAUAGAUUUAAAUAUUGAUGGACUGCCAAUAAGUAAGAGCAGCAAAAGUCAAAUUUGGCCGAUAUUGGGAAAGAUCUAUGGAAAUAAAGCAUUCACGCCUUUUGUUAUUAGUGCCUAUCAUGGGUACACAAAACCGAAAUCUUUAACAGAUUUUCUGGCUCCUUUCUGCGAAGAGUAUCGUGAACUUCAACGCACAGGAAUAGCUUUCCGUAGAAAAACUUAUGCCGUAAAAAUAAGAUGCGUAAUUUGCGAUAGCCCUGCCAGAUCAUUUGUUACAGGCACUAAAGCACACAAUGCCUUCUUUGGAUGUGGCAAGUGUAUGCAAGAAGGCACGUUUGAUAAUCAUCGCAUGCUUUUCUUAGACUUUGAUUCACCUCCUCGGACCGAUAAAAAUUUUAAAAAUAGAUUGCAAGAAGAGCACCAUAAUAAUACGUCUCCAUUGGAAUCUAUACUACCUAUGGUGUCACGUUUCCCUCUAGAUUAUAUGCAUCUAGUGUGUCUGGGAGUCACAAAGAAAUUAUUACAGUUGUGGACAAAUGGAUAUCAUACGUCAAAAUUGAGUGGUCAAAAAAUAACGCAGUUAUCUGACAAAUUAAUUGCUAUUUCAAAAUGGAUACCAAAGGAAUUUCCUCGAAAGCCACGAUCAUUGGAUGACUUGCCUCGAUGGAAAGCAACUGAGUUGCGAUUGUUUCUUCUAUACGUAGGACCAAUCGCUUUGCAUGGUAUUUUAUCGCGAGAUAAUUUACAACAUUUCAAUGUGCUACAUUGUGCUAUUCGCAUACUAUGUCAUUCAACCGAUUUCUUACACAACAAUGAAUAUAGCAGAGAUUUGUUGAUACAUUUUGUCAAAAUCUGUAAACAGUUGUACGGAGAAGAUUCGAUUAUUUAUAACGUACACAAUUUAAUUCAUUUAAGCGAAGACGUACUCAAAUAUGGACCACUCGAUAAUUUUUCUGCAUUUCCUUUUGAAAAUUACAUGCAGACAAUAAAGAAAAUGCUCCGAAAAGCUGAAAAGCCACUGCAGCAGCUGUACAACAGAAUCUCCGAAAUAAAUGCCGAACUUAAAAUUACUGACAACGAAUCCAUUUAUCCCAUACUGAAGAAGGAAUUUCGAGAAAUUCUUCCUGCAAAUUGCAAAAGAGCACAUCGUGUAAUUCAAUUCAAAGACUUUAUUUUGACAGCUAAGAAACCCGACAAUUGCUGUUAUCUAAAAGAUAAUACAAUUGUUGUUAUUAAACACAUUUGCUAUAAUGGAGAUACUGCCGUCAUAAUUGCAAGAAAGUUUUUAACGAAAAAUUCAUUAUCUUUGUACCCAUGUUCAUCGGAAAAUAUGGAUGUGUAUAUUGUAAACAAUUUAUCCCAGUUAAUGAUAUGGGCAGUUACCGAAAUUUCGAAUAAAGCUGUUCAACUUCCAUUCAGGGAAGACUCAUGGUGCUGUAUGCCAUUGCUACAUUCAUUGUAGCAUUAAAUUAGAAAUUAUUACUACCUCUACACUGUAGUACUACCUGAUGGCCCGCUAAUGAGAAAGAUGGCACCCGAUUGACUACGCGUUUCAACAUUUUAUGUUAUUAUUAAUGGAGUAUUACGUUUUAUUGUAUGAUAUGUACUGCAUAUCUGUACCAUCGUCAUGGAUCAAUUUCGAUCAAAGUACUUUCAAGAUGCCCAAAAAGCAUUCAGAAGUGUCUAAAGCGUGUUAUAAACAGCUUACUCCGUCAGACAAUUGGCAGGAACUGUCAUUCAAGAAAAAGUUUGGACCGUUUGAUACUUACAGUAAUGCACAGCAGUCGAAAAAACUGUGAGUGAAUUGUCAACAUCAAAUGAUGAAAACAUAUUUGUUUCGACAACCGUUGACAAACAAAAAAGAUUUAUUAGAAAACGAAAGUUUUAUGGCGACACAUCAACGGAUGAAGAUGAGCAAGAAAGGAAAAGAGAAAAGAAUAAGAGAAAUAUAAACGCGCCUUCUAAUUACAUUCCGCAAAAAAAAAGAGAACAUUUAUCUAAUAGUCAACCAAUUGAAAAGUCUGUUCCUUUUAUUGAGCCAG